GUCCGUGUCGAUUAGUGGUUAAAUCACUUCGUUGUGGUCUCGCAAUCCCGAAGAGCCCUGUGUUCGACUCACAGCACGGACA